rnacentral:lncRNA from 1 species
AGCGGCCUUGGAGCGCAGGGCCACCAGCUUCUUCUUGGCCACGUAGAAGGCCUUGGCCUUGGCCUUGCGCUUCUCCUCCAGCUCGGCAACGGCGGCCUGGUGCUUCCAGCCCACCUAUGGAUGAAGAGGGAGGCACAGGGUUAGCGGCGCGCCGGCGGGGAAAAGCGUCCGUUAUGGUGUGAUCGUCCGUGGUGGCGUAGGGACGGCUGGCGGCUGCGCGCUCAGGUGCUGGACUGCAUAGCUGUCCACGCCAAGUGCGUCCGAGGCGACUUGCUCCGCCGAGCUCCAGUCCGUUAGCUGCCGGCACGGCGUGGCGUUCGCCCCGUCCUCCCUCCGCCACAGCCGCUGCAUGCCUGGGGCUUUCUGACCCGACUGUCUCCACAGCGCCCCUGUGCUGCCGCCGCCUGCCGCCGCCCGCGUUUAACUUAAGCAGCAAUCGCCAGUAGCUCCAUUGCGCCUCGCCGCUUCGCCGAGUGUUAAUCACCAGCUGUCGGCUGGUCCAUCCGAGGAGCGUCUCAACGCCGACGCAUCAGACACCGCGACGCUCCCCCAAGCCGCAGGUGUGCAUUCCCUCCUUCCGCACCAUUCGCAGCCGCUGGUCUCCCCUUCGCCUGCGGUCACUGCCCACCCUCCCGGCACCCGCCGCCCUUGUCUUCCAGCAGGCCGACUCACCGAGGCGGACAGGUCGCCCAGCUUGCAGUUCCGGUGGCCGUGCUGCAGGCGCAGGACCUUCAGGGCGUCGGGCACCACCAGGCGCUUCACCUUGUCGUAAGGGUGGGGGAUACCCUCGAACGCCUUGAGGCGCUCCAGGGCAGCGGCACCGCGAGCGGUCUUGUGGGGGAUCAUGCUGCAGGCAGGGCCGCGGGAAGGAGGCAGCGGCAGGAGAGGGAGCAGACACACAUGAGGACAGCGCACGCAAAAGUGCAUGUAACAUGCAUGGGCCGACCGUAACCCCAAGACGCAGCCGAACGGGCUCACGCGGGGACCGGCAGCUGAGAGCGCUGGUGGUUCUUGCCGGCGGCUGCCCAGCUGCUGAGCUGCGCUUGAACUGAUCCGUGCUGCCCUGCGCUGCAACCAUGGCGCAGUGCCGAGCCCGAAAGGUGUGUCUGAGCCUCCUGGCGAGGUGCCGCCACAGACACUGGCAAACUGAUGCGCUUGGCAAGCAGCCGGGUCCCUGGCUAUGCGGCGACGAUGCUUCCGCAGCUCUUUGCUCUGGUCCUCUCAUACGCCCGCCCGAAUCCCCGCGCCUGACGAUGACAGCGCUGCAGCAGAGGGUCCAACGCUCAGCUUCGCGCGCCCAUUGACAGAGCAAUCAGCGGUUGCUGGUGCGCCUGGCUGCCAUUCCCAUCGCGACUACCAGCAUCACGGUUAGCGGACUGGCGCCGCCGGACCCUACACCAGGCGCCUGGAAGCAGCGGCAGCCGGCUCAGCAACUGCGGACUGCUGCAGCUUGCCCUGGUGCGCUGGGCCUCCACCAGUUCCGCAGCCAUAAUGCCGCAGCUGAACCUCCAUUUGCUCCGCGCGGGAGCCCAUCCGCAGGCACUCCGGCGCUGCAGCACUGACUGCGCAUGAGCGGUGGGCGCAACUGCCACACGUACGGCAUCUCAUGAACAUCUGCUGGAGCCUGGUGCCAGCAGCCAUAGACCGCCCUUUCGCCAGGGCUGCCACACGGAAGCCAGGCAACGCCUCCGCCAUUGUCCCGCUGGCAACGCCGCCGAUAUGGCCCCACCCCUGGACCUCUGCAGCUGUUCACCGGCAGGCUGGCAGGCGCCGGCUGGCUCCGCCACUGACCAGUAGCUGCCUGGCAUGCUACUUAUCGCUGCUGCUGCGCCUGGCGCCUGCGAGCUUGCUGCUCGCCUGCAAGUCGUCCGCCUACCCCCGCCGGAGCGGGGCAGGUGUUAUCGGGCGUGUCGGCCCCGUCCGCUCGCCCCACCGCGUCAAGUUCAGUAUUCGCGAGAUAUCAGCUUGCUGCCCUUCCAAACCAAGCUUCUAGGCCCCCCGCGACGACGACGCAAGCCGACAUGCUACUCACCCGCGCACAGUCCGCCAGAAGAUGCGCGAGGGGGCGCGGAAGUGGAAGGGGCCGCGGGUGGGGUUGGUGUUCAUGCGCUUGCGCAGGAAGCGGUCAUACUUCAUCUUCUGGCGCACCAGGCCGCCCGAGAUGGUAAUCUCCUCGGCGCGGACGACCACCUGCAAAAUGCACCGAGCCCGUUACACUCAUGACAAACCUCCAAGUCACACGGACGUAGGCCAGAAGCAGUCGCAGGCUCGCGCGGUUGCCGCCGCGCCCCUGUCGCCGGCGGCUAUGCGGGCGACCCAAGCCCCCAAAAAAUAGACGAGCCCCGCAGCCGCCACGGUGUCGUCCCAACGAUCCCAUCUGUCCUAAACGGCGUCCUUGCGCCGCACACUGCUUACAAUCUGCUGCCCGGCAAGAAUCUGCUUGGCCACCACAG